rnacentral:pre_miRNA from 13 species
AUUCUUAUUCUAAGUCAUCAAAAGGGAAUGGUUUGUUUUAGCCUGAGCUAUGUGUUAUUGCACAUACAUAGCUACUUGUUAAAACAUACCAAUCCAAUGAACUGACUGCUAUUUGG